AGGGUUCAGUCGACAACUCAGCGUGGUGCAGUAAACUUCGUGCGUUUUAUCAAACGGCAUAAGCAGUAGAUUUGUUAAUUGCGACUCAAACUGCAAAUACUUCUAAAAGUGUAUAUUUUUUCCGCAAUGACUACAAUAAUGAAUUUGCCUGAGGAAAUAAUUUUGAUAAUUUUGAAGAACAAAAAUAUUAGCGCCAUAGACGCUACAAAUUUUAGCCUCACGUGCAGUCAAUUUCAGCGCAUAAUUAUUGGUAGCGAGCUUAUAGAGAAGAAGAAAGAGGAGGAGAGGUUAAGAAGGAUCGCUAGACUAAAGGAUUCAAAUUGGUUAUUAUUCUCGGUGGACAUAUUGCCAGGCAUGUUUCGCAAAAAACCUGUAUUUAAAUAAUUUCAUGCAAAAAAUUUUAUUCGAGAAUAAUCGCUUUCUAAAAUAUUUGAAAUGAUUUUUGGCAUUUCGAAAAUUUCUAAAUAUGAUGAAUUUGAUUAAAAUAUUAUUAAAAUUUUUAUUUACUUAGUACAUUUUAUUUACUUAGUAAAAUUUGGAAUAUUUAUGAAGGCAUUGAGUCGUUUUAAAUAUUAUUGCUAGUUUAGUCUCUUUAAUAUUGCGUAAAUUGAAAACAAAAAUUAUAACUAUAAAACUAUGAGAUGAUAGAAAGACUAUUCUAAUUUAAAAGUUUUUCUGAAAACUAAUAAGUUCUAUAAAAAAUAUAAAAAUAAUUUAUUUGUUAUACAUUACUUGUGCAAAACACUUGAACAAUAAUAAAAUUAUUUCACGGAAAGCAUUUUAUAGGUUAAGAAGGAUCGCUUUACUAAAGGCUUCAAAUUGGUUAUUCUCGUUGGACAUAUCGCCAGAAAUAUUACGUUUUAAAAUUAUUAAUUCGAUAAGACAUUAAUGUAAUAUAAUAGCGGUUAAGAUAUGACUUGAUAAUUUAUGUAACACUGAAGAAGACUACGUGCAGUCGAAACGUCUAAUUCUUUUAUGUAAGAUUCUGUAAAUUUACGGUUUGUUCGAUUGGAUUGAUAUUUUUUCGGUUUACCAAUGCUUGUAGAAUAUAUUAAAUAAAUUUCUGAUUCUAACAUUCUA